rnacentral:lncRNA from 1 species
GUUUCUUGUGUAUAAUUUGGAAAUUAGUAUGGCGUUCAUUAUCACUGAACUAAUAUAUAUUUGUUUAGGGGCCAGCUGAGGGACGCUUCCGGGUGCGGGAAUUUCUCGCUACGUUGAAGACCUGUUGGUGACCUUCUGCUGUUGUUUUUUCUAUAGUCGGGUUGUGGUCUCUUUGACACAUUCCUCAUUUUCAUUCUCAAUUUUAUAUGCAUUAAAGGAUAUUUCGGGUCAACGCAAAUGGGACAACCAAUCCACGUCACACACACACAAACACUGUUUGUUACUUAUUUAUUUUCUUUACGUACACAUGUUAUAUUUUACAAAUUUGAAUAUUCUAAUAAAAUAUGCUUCUAGGACAAUCCAUCAGUGCUCGUCCUUUUGAGAGCCCUAUUAACAUGCCAAUGGUAGGAUUUGAAUCUCGUAUAAAUGACUAGGGCUCAUUUGAGGGGUGGUCGAAGGGGCCCUGAUCCCGAAAUCCCGGGCUUAAAAACAUGAAAUCCCGAGGUGCGUAUUUUAACGAAAUUCAUAUCCCGAUAUCCCGAAAUUAAAAAAAAAUUAAUUCCGCAUCCCGUAAGGAUCAAUCCGGAAAUCCCGAGCUUAAAAACACCCGAUCCCGACGUUCCGAAUAAGUCCUGCUUCCCUCUAAUCUCUACACUACUUUCAUUUUGCCAAUAUUACUACUUUCACUUUCAACAAUAAAUUUGUAUGCCCCAUUUAUGGGCAUAAAUUUUCUAGUCUGUGCGUCCGUUCGUUCGUUCGUCCGUCCGUCUGUCCAGCUUCAGGUUAAAGUUUUUGUCGAGGUAGUUUUUGAUGAAGUUGAAGUCCAACCAACUCGAAACUUAGUAAAUAUGUUCCCAAUGAUAUGAUCUGUCUAAUUUUUAUGCCAAAUAAGAGAUUUCACCCCAGUUCACGGUCCACUAAACAUAGUAAAUGAUAGUGCCGAUUUGGCAUCCGUAUACUAUGGACACUUUCUUGUUUCCACAUGAUUUACUUAUUUUAAUAUAUAUGCAACUAGUAUGACCCCUUAGAUAGUAAAUAUUUCAGAAAACGGAAGACAGAAUACAGAGUCUCUAAAUAUUACAGUAGUAUAAUCGUAGUUUACAUGUGGAUAAACGCGAAACAUUAUUGUCUCUAAGGAGGUAUAAAAGUUGUGGUUCUUGCGAUCUAAAAACCAUGACCUAUUUUGUUGUUUUUCUCCCAAAAUAACUCAAUCUGAAUAAUCAUAAGAAUGGAUGACAAAUGCGACUAUAAAAUUGAAAAUGGAAAUGGGGAAUGUGCCAAAGAGACAACAACCCGACCAUAGAAAAAAACAACAGCAGAAGGUCACCAACAGGUCUUCAAUGUAGCGAGAAAUUCCCGCACCCGGAGGCGUUCUUCAAAUGGCCCCUAAACAAAUAUAUACUAGUUCAGUGAUAAUGAACGCCAUACAAUUU